AAUUCAAGCUCCGUAAUAAAGCUAGUAUGAGUUAGUUUAAUGCCAAUCAGAACUGAAGCGAAAUAUUUCACCUUCCUUGCAUUAAUUCUAUGCUUCUACUCUAUGAAAAUUACGUAAUGGAUGUGCUACUUUCUCAGCUGUUGCUUGGGAAGUAAAUGUUGAACAACUGAAAUGGUUUGCAAGACAGAAAUCCUUCCUCACCAACUAUACCAGCUCUUGGCACACACAGGUGCCAGUGCAAACUCCCUGCUCUUUAGUCUGGUACUAAUUGGCAACUUCAACUCUCUGCAUCCCUGGGAUAACAUAUCUUUGAAGCAAUUAAACAGAUAAAGAGGAGGAUCUGAUGUGACCAGAACCUACAUGAGAAAAUUAAGAGGAGAGAGAAAGGGUGCUGCUGCUCACAAAGGAUAUCCUAGAUAACCAGUAUAAAACAGGAUUGCACUGCUGGAAGUCAAAACUGGGGAUAUCUUUCUAGGAGAGACACUAAUUUUGGUAAGAAUGACCAGGUGGGACUCCACAGAUUGUGUGGUGCAGUGUUUGGGGGUGAUCACAAAGGCUCCUUCUGUCAUUCACAUCUGACUCACCACGGCUUUAUCGCCCCAUUCCAUUUGUGUAAUAAACUGCCUGCACCUUGAAGACAGCUUGACUCAUCACAUCCAAAGUCACCUGUCAGCUCCUGCCUGCAUUUCUCUAUUCAAAAGGGCAUGGCAGAGAUGAGUAUUUCCCUAAAGCAAAGGCUCUUAUCUCCUGCUCUAUCCUUCCCUCUUGAUCUUAAAUCUUGUUGCCUUCAGCACAGUGAUAUUUACCUGAAUUGCUAUCACAUUCUAUUAUUUAUCUUUUUUUUUUUCCCAGUUCUCUUUUUUCAGUAUCUGUUUUUCAGCUCUCCUCAUCUGGCCCUUCAACAGAGGACAAAUAGGAGACAGGACAAGCACUGCUACACAUCCACAACAACAACUUCAGGGGAAAGUGACAGACUGCAUUUUAUGCUUUUUGUUAAUCAGCUUUCACCUAAAAGUUGCAGGCAUGCAAAGUUUGACUGCAGCUUGACUUCCAGAAGUGACUUCUGCAGAUUGUGCUAAAGUUUUCCUCUCCUGCCCAAGUCAAACAUCUAAGGCUUUUGAAACAUAUCACUAUGUGAUCACUUGCAAAUGUCUUAUUAGCAUAUACUGAAGUGCAUUUAAUUGUAUGUGUAGCAUGUAUUCUCCAUAUGUGUAUGUAAAGAAUAAAAAGAAAAAGCAGCCAUUGUCUCCCCUCUUUAGAUAUACAGGCAAAUUCAUCUGCUGUUCCCUAUUACCAAUGAAAUUCUUAGCAAUAAAGAAAGAAAAAGCCGUGUCUCAUUGCCAUGGAGAUAAUGUGGUUAACACUAUUAGAAUCUCAGCCCCUACAGACAUCCUGCGGCUUCUGGAGAAGGAAGAAAAUGAAUAGAAAUUGAACGGCCCAACCACAAUCAGCAACAAGUAGCAGAUGAAAAAUUCUAGGUUUGCCCCUGAAAAGCCAAGAGAUGAGGAGAGAAAAGGGUUGUGGGUUUUAUUUUUUUAAAUACAUUAAACAAACAUACGC
ensembl:lncRNA